rnacentral:lncRNA from 1 species
UUUUUUUUUCUUUGACACAAAGUAAAAUUAUAAUUAAUAUUGAAUAAAGUAAAAAUGAACUCCUGAGUUCCAGUCCCUUAUGUAACACACCUGGUUUGUGGCAGGCACUCAGGAAAUAUUAGUUGCAUGAACGAAGGCUGCAUUUUCAUUAGAACAACAUGCAGUUCAACCCCUUCAUGUUUCAAUGAGGGUUCAGAUACCCAGAGGGCUAUGCUAUCAUCCUGGAGCCCACUCUGCUAACAAUUAGCAGAACGGAAGCCUUAAUUUCCAGAUUCUAGUGAACUUGAUGAGUCAAGACUAUUGCAAUUGGAAAUCUGUUCUCCUCUGCUGCUGCAUUCCCUGCUUAAUACUCAAGCCAGAAACCAGGAAGGCUGUGGCUUGCCUUUUCACUUCUUGUGUCCUGUUUAAGAAAUAUCUGCUAUCCCAAGCAUCUGGCAUCUUUCUUGACAUAUGUAGCAGUUGCUUUUUGACAGCUUGCUUCUUCAGUGAAUGAAUAAAUUAAUAAAGAGAAAUGUGAUGUUCAGUGAUCCAUUUUGCAGAUUGCAAACUCCUAGAGAAGGGCUCAACAGUGAGUGCUGAGGCUGCACAGAGGAGGAAGGCAGCACAAUGAUGGAAGGCUUCCUAAAGAGAUAACACUAACAAAGUUGACCUUAGAAUUGGAGUGCCUGGGUUAGAACCCUGCUGGUACCACCUGCUUACUGCAUGCUUCUGAUGUGAGUUCAGGAGAAGACACUGGCAAGGACAGCAAAGAACAGGAGAACACUCUAGCUUCCCUGAUAGCAUUCAAGGUGCUGUCCAAACUGACUGUGAUGGCACCCUCCAGACAGACAGCGAUGCCACAUGUUCAAGAUGGCAGAAUCACUAUCAGCUUCAAUUCCUGAAUGACUGCAGAGCAAAAUUUCUUACCUGCAACAUACACUCUAUUUUCAGCCUCCCUGGACUGUUACAUAAUGAUACAUAAAAAUAUUUCUUGUGUUGAGGCAUCCCAAAUUUGAUUUAUUUGUCAUCACAGUCUAUCCUAUGAAUAUAUUUCUGAUCCAAAUAAUGCUAGAUUCAUGAGAGUUUAUAGUCCAGAGAUUUUUUUUUUUUUUUUGAGACAGAAUCUGUCUCCCAGGCUGGGGUGCAGUGGCAUAAUCUUAGCUCACUGCAACCUCUGCCUCCCGGGCUCAAGUGAUCCUCCCUCCUUAGCCUCCAUGAGUAGCUGGGACCACAGGUGUGCACCACCACACCCCGCUAAUUAUUUUGUAUUUUUUGCAGAGGGGGGUUUCACCACAUUGCCCAAGCUGGUCUCAAACUCCUAGACUUAAGGGAUCUGCCUGCCUUGGCCUCCCAAAAUGCUGAAAUUACACUUGUUAGCCAUAGUAAUAGUUCCUAGCCAUAGUCCGGAGAUAUUUUAAAAACUUUAGUGUGAGUUAUUUCUCUUUGCUAUAAUUCUCUCAUGCAUUUUGAAAACCUUUUCUGCCAUACAGUGGUUUUUGGGAAGUCCUUUUGGACAGACAUAUCACAGGAUGGAGAAACUAAAAAGAGAGAAUGCAUUAAAGAAAAAAUAGUACU